rnacentral:rRNA from 1 species
GAUGAACGCUAGCUACAGGCUUAACACAUGCAAGUCGAGGGGCAGCAGGGAUUUAGCUUGCUAAAUCCGCUGGCGACCGGCGCACGGGUGCGUAACGCGUAUCCAACUUUCCCGUUACUCAGGGAUAGCCUUCCGAAAGGGAGAUUAAUACAUGAUGGUGUUGAAAUUCCGCAUGUUAUUUCAACUAAAGAUUGUAGCUUCGCAUGAAGUAGCAAUUAAAGGAGCAAUCCGCUAUGAGAUGGGCCCGCGGCGCAUUAGCUAGUUGGUGAGGUAACGGCUCACCAAGGCGACGAUGCGUAGCCGACCUGAGAGGUGAUCGGCCACAUUGGGACUGAGACACGGCCCAGACUCCUACGGGAGGCAGCAGUGGGGAAGUAUUGCACAAUGGGGGAAACCCUGAUGCAGCAACGCCGCGUGAGUGAUGACGGCCUCGGUUGUAA